rnacentral:rRNA from 1 species
UGCAGAAUCCCGUGAACCAUCGAGUCUUUGAACGCAAGUUGCGCCCGAAGCCUUCUGGCCGAGGGCACGUCUGCCUGGGUGUCACACAUCGUCGCCCCAAACCCAACACCUCGCCAGAGGAGCUUGGGAAGAGGAUGGGGCGGAUAAUGGUCUCCCGUGCGCACCCGUUCGCGGUUGGCCCAAAAAUCAGUUCCUGGCGAUCGCAAGCCACGACCAGCGGUGGUUGUAAGACCCUCGAUUUCAAGUCGUGAGCACCUGCCUCGCAUGUCGGGACAAUUUGACCCCGUACGUGCUCGAAUAACUUCGAACACUCACAAAGUGACCCCAGGUCAGGCGGGACUACCCGCUGAAUUUAAGCAUAUCAAUAAGCGGAGGAAAAGAAACUAACAAGGAUUCCCCUAGUAACGGCGAGCGAACCGGGAAAUGCCCAGCUUGAAAAUCGGACGCCCCGGGCGUUCGA